AACCACAGGAGCCCAGGACCCGGUCCAGAGCCUGGUAUAAGCGGUCCUUCCUGCGGCCGCUCCGGUUCUUCUUGUCCCUGUGCAUGCGCUGAUCCUGGAUCCGACUGUCCGACCAGACCCCCAGCAGAGCCAGAGUCUCCUCCACCGACCACACCACCGACAUCUGCACUCACUGAGGAACCCUCGGGAGUCUGAACAACUCUGUUUCCACUGCAGUGUGGAACGGUUCUGGUUACCGUCAGUAACGGUUCUACAGUGAUUUCCAUAUGAAGACGGUUCGGGAACCGUUAGAACUGGUUAGAACCGGUUCCCUCAGCACGGUUAGUCAGAACCGUUCGGCGGGAAUGACGCAGUGAGGUAGAAUUCACGAGAAGUCCCGCCCAUCGACUAGCAGAGAGCCAAUCAGCCUGUUAGUAAACGCGUGGGCGGGAAAAGCUGAACUAGGCUGUGUUUCAUUCCGACCAUGAUCCCUUCAUAGUGCACUUCGGUGUCACCGCUCUGUUUAUUUCUUCGUUUUUCACUUUUCUUUCUUUACUUCGGCUUUUUAUAAAAUAAAAAUGUUUAUAUUUG